rnacentral:rRNA from 1 species
UAGCACAGGUGGUGCAUGGUUGUCGUCAGCUCGUGUCGUGAGAUGUUGGUUAAGUCCCGCAACGAGCGCAACCCCUAUUGUUAGUUGCCAUCAUUCAGUUGGGCACUCUAGCGAGACUGCCGGUAAUAAACCGGAGGAAGGUGGGGAUGACGUCAAAUCAUCAUGCCCCUUAUGACCUGGGCUACACACGUGCUACAAUGGUUGGUACAACGAGUUGCGAGUCGGUGACGGCGAGCUAAUCUCUUAAAGCCAAUCUCAGUUCGGAUUGUAGGCUGCAACUCGCCUACAUGAAGUCGGAAUCGCUAGUAAUCGCGGAUCAGCACGCCGCGGUGAAUACGUUCCCGGGCCUU